UACGUAGGGUGCAAGCGUUAAUCGGAAUUACUGGGCGUAAAGCGUGCGCAGGCGGUUGUGUAAGACAGAUGUGAAAUCCCCGGGCUCAACCUGGGAACUGCAUUUGUGACUGCACGGCUGGAGUCCGGCAGAGGGGGAUGGAAUUCCGCGUGUAGCAGUGAAAUGCGUAGAUAUGCGGAGGAACACCGAUGGCGAAGGCAAUCCCCUGGGCCUGCACUGACGCUCAUGCACGAAAGCGUGGGGAGCAAACAGG
rnacentral:rRNA from 1 species